GUCGCUUUAGCUCACUUGGGAGAGCGCCAGACUGAAGUUUCACUUCGGUUAGCAAGCCUGUGCGGUAUCUGGAGGUACUGUGUUCGAUCCACAGAAGCGACA